CCUACGGAGGGCAGCAGUGAGGAAUAUUGGUCAAUGGGCGCGAGCCUGACCCAGCCAAGUAGCGUGAAGGAUGACUGCCCUACGGGUUGUCAACUUCUUUUAUCAAGGAAUAAAGUGAGGCACGUGUGCCUUUUUGUAUGUACUUUAUGAAUAAGGAUCGGCUAACUCCGUGCCAGCAGCCGCGGUAAUAAGGCGGAUCCGAGCGUUAUCUGGAUUUAUUGGGUUUAAAGGGCGCGUAGAGGGGUUGUUACGUCAGUUGUGAAAGUUUGCGGCUCAAACGUAAAAUUGCAAUUGAUACUGGCAGCCUUGAUUACAGUUGAGGUAUGCGGAAUUCGUGGUGUAGCGGUGAAAUGCUUAGAUAUCACGAAGAACUCCGAUUGCGAAGGCAGCCUACUAAACUGCCACUGACAUUGAUGCUCGAAAGUGUGGGUAUCAAACAGGAUUAGAUACCCUGUAGUC
rnacentral:rRNA from 1 species